CGCAGACGUCUGCUCCUCUACCGGCGGCCAUGCUGAUGCCUCUUCCCUAACCGGUGGCCGCACAGACUAUUUCCGUCCGGGCAGGCGCAUCCUCCCCAACCAGCGAUGGUUCUGUGUUUCGGAGUGGGCAUCGCACAGGGGUGUCGGUGUGCCCUCACCUACAACGGCAGGCGGUGGCCUUGGUCGGAGUUCUCUAGCUCUGUGUGCGGGUGCAGGUCGGAGCUCCGCGAUGCAGGUCUAGAUGCAGCUUUUUUCACCAGGCAUGGGAGGUAACUGAUGGGCUGUUGAUCAGUACAGGUAGCAAAUCGCAUCUCGGUGAGCCACGUCUGCAUCGCUAAUGUCGUUCGACAUUCUGUGUCCAUGCGACAACCACGAAGCAUUCAGGCAGACGUUUUAGUUGGGCCAAUAAUUUACCUAAUCAAACUUUUGAGAAGCUAGACAGAGUACUAGUGUGCACAGAAUUAGAAGACAAACAUACACACAUGUCAAUUCAACUACUCUCCAGGGUAA